rnacentral:rRNA from 1 species
UACAGAGGGGGCAAGCGUUGUUCGGAAUUACUGGGCGUAAAGGGCGCGUAGGCGGCCUGUUAAGUCGAACGUGAAAUCCCCGGGCUCAACCCGGGAACUGCGUCCGAUACUGGCAGGCUUGAAUCCGGGAGAGGGAUGCGGAAUUCCAGGUGUAGCGGUGAAAUGCGUAGAUAUCUGGAGGAACACCGGUGGCGAAGGCGACAUCCUGGACCGGUAUUGACGCUGAGGCGCGAAAGCGUGGGGAGCAAACAGG